AUGACAGGUGUUGUCAUGGUUGUCGUCAGCUCGUGCCGUGAGGUGUUGGGUUAAGUCCCGCAACGAGCGCAACCCCUACUGCCAGUUACUAACAGGUAACGCUGAGGACUCUGGCGGAACUGCCGGUGACAAACCGGAGGAAGGUGGGGAUGACGUCAAGUCAUCAUGGCCCCUAUGUCCAGGGCUACACACGUGCUACAAUGGGCGAUACAGAGUGACGCGAAGCCGCGAGGUGGAGCAAAUCGCAGAAAAUCGCUCUCAGUUCGGAUUGGAGUCUGAAACCCGACUCCAUGAAGGUGGAAUCGCUAGUAAUCGCGCAUCAGCAUGGCGCGGUGAAUACGUUCCCGGGCCUU
rnacentral:rRNA from 1 species